UGGAAGUAAAAAUCGUAACAAGGUUUCCGUAGGUGAACCUGCGGAAGGAUCAUUACUGAGUGCGGGCUGCCUCCGGGCGCCCAACCUCCCACCCGUGAAUACCUAACACUGUUGCUUCGGCGGGGAACCCCCUCGGGGGCGAGCCGCCGGGGACUACUGAACUUCAUGCCUGAGAGUGAUGCAGUCUGAGUCUGAAUAUAAAAUCAGUCAAAACUUUCAACAAUGGAUCUCUUGGUUCCGGCAUCGAUGAAGAACGCAGCGAACUGCGAUAAGUAAUGUGAAUUGCAGAAUUCAGUGAAUCAUCGAGUCUUUGAACGCACAUUGCGCCCCCUGGCAUUCCGGGGGGCAUGCCUGUCCGAGCGUCAUUGCUGCCCAUCAAGCCCGGCUUGUGUGUUGGGUCGUCGUCCCCCCCGGGGGACGGGCCCGAAAGGCAGCGGCGGCACCGUGUCCGGUCCUCGAGCGUAUGGGGCUUUGUCACCCGCUCGACUAGGGCCGGCCGGGCGCCAGCCGACGUCUCCAACCAUUUUUCUUCAGGUUGACCUCGGAUCAGGUAGGGAUACCCGCUGAACUUAAGCAUAUCAAUAAGCGGAGGAAAA
rnacentral:misc_RNA from 1 species